UUUUUUUUACAACAAAGGAGGCAGCUCAAGGGCACAAAAAAAAUAAUAAAAAAGCCCGCUAAUCGCUGCUCCCAUAAAAGAAUCAGAAGAGGUGGCCAAAAGCAAGGUCAAAUUCGGGAGGAGAGGUGUCCUGAUACCCUCCUCUUGAAAGAGUUCAAGUCGUAGGCAGGAGGAAAUACAGAUGAAGGAAGAUUGUUCCAGAGUUUACCAGCGUGAGGGAUGAAAGAGUGAAGAUGCUGGUUAACUCUUGCAUAAGGGGUUUGGACAGUAUAGGGAUGAGCAUGAGUAGAAAGUCGAGUGCAGCGGGGCCGCGGGAGGGGGGGAGGCAUGCAGUUAGCAAGUUCAGAAGAGCAGUCAGCGUGGAAAUAUCGAUAGAAGAUAGAAAGAGAGGCAACAUUGCGGCGGAAUUUAAGAGGUAGAAGACUAUCAGUAUGAGGAGGAGAGCUGAUGAGACGAAGAGCCUUUGCCUCCACUCUGUCCAGAAGAGCUGUGUGAGUGGAGCCCCCCCACACAUGAGAUGCAUACUCCAUACGAGGGCGGACAAGGCCCCUGUAUAUGGACAGCAACUGUGCAGGGGAGAAGAACUGGCGGAGACGGUACAGAACGCCCAGCCUCGAGGAAGCUGAUUUAGUAAGAGAUGAGAUAUGAAGUUUCCAGUUGAGAUUUUGAGUUAAGGAUAGACCGAGGAUGUUUAGUGUUGAGGAAGGUGAUAGCUGGGUGUUGUCAAAGAAUAGGGGAUAGUUGUUUGGAAGAUUGUAUCGAGUGGAUAGGUGG